UACGAGUGGUCCAAGCGUUAUCCGGAAUUAUUGGGCGUAAAGGAUGUGUAGGUGGUUAUAUUAGUCUAGUGUCUAACCUCUGAGCUCAACUUGGAGACAGCACUGGAAACGGUAUGACUAGAGUAUAGUAGGGGUAAGCGGAACUCAUAGUGUAGGGGUGAAAUCCGUUGAUAUUAUGGGGAACACCAAAAGCGAAGGCAGCUUACUGGACUAUUACUGACGCUGAGGAGCGAAAGCAUGGGGAGCGAACAGG
rnacentral:rRNA from 1 species